AAGUCGUAACAAGGUUUCCGUAGGUGAACCUGCGGAAGGAUCAUUAUCGAGUUUUGAAACCGAAGGCCUGUGCUGGUGCGGAAACGCACAUGUGCACGGCUUUCGUGCUCUCAAAUCCACUCAAACCCCUGUGCACUUUUGAACGGUCGAAGCUAGUAGUUAGUAACCAACACUUUCGACUCGAUGACUUUUUAGUACUAUGAGUAUGACUAGUAGGAGGGCUUUGCGGGCCUUUCGAACGUUUGAAAGUAGGAAAACGUUAACGAGAAGAGAGGGUGAAGGCGAACGCUUUGACUAGUUUAUAUUAUUACAAACCCUUUUAUUGUUAUGUGAAUGUAAUGCUCCUUGUGGGCGAUAAUGUUAAUACAACUUUCAACAACGGAUCUCUAGGCUCUC
rnacentral:misc_RNA from 1 species